GAGAGAAAAAAAAACAAAAACCAACAAAUCCUAAAGUUUUUCACAAAAAUACACGGAGAAGAAGUGACGACGCGGACGGGAACAAGCAGGAAGAAACGCUAUUCACUUCUACUGGAAACGUUAGCACCGAUGUCAACAGUAACACUGUUGUAAACAGGCUAGGAGAGAUAGCUGCAGCAGCUGGGAAGCACAAGGAGCAGCACCCAGCAGUGGAACUCAUCAGCAUGGAAGAAACAUUGACACAUCGCUUAUCAGAGAAACAGAAGAUGAUAUCAACCAUGCAGUCGAUUCAAGUGCACACUGUUACCCACUCUCAGAGCUCCAACUCAGUUCAGCUGUUCCAGUUUUAAAGGAGCAGAUGAAGUCUUCAGUGUUGCCCCGUCCACAUCCACUCCUGUCUCAGAGGAUCGUGUUGGCUGUGCUGUCCAUUCAGGUGGUGAUGCACAUAAUGACCCACCCUCAGAGAUUCAGCUGGAUGAUGCCACCCCAGUUUUCACUUCAGCUGAGAAAGACAUCAACAGUGAUCGUCCACACCCACUCCUGUGUCAGGGGACCAUGAUCAGCAUACUGUCUACUCAAGUUUUGAUGCAGGCUAUGACCAACAUUAUGGUGCAAACCCAACAGUUUUUUUUCCUGGCGCCCAACGUGGGGCGUCGACACAUCUUGAGCGAACGGAGGGAGACGCACCGCUGACAGCGCGCACCGAAGAAAGUCCUGAGGGG